rnacentral:rRNA from 1 species
GACAGAGGCCUCAAGCGUUAGGCGGAAUUACUGGGCGUAAAGCGCGUGUAGGCGGCGUGGCAAGUCGGGUGUGAAAGCCCUCAGCUCAACUGAGGAAGUGCGCCCGAAACUGCUGUGCUUGAGUGCCGGAGAGGGUGGCGGAAUUCCCCAAGUAGAGGUGAAAUUCGUAGAUAUGGGGAGGAACACCGGUGGCGAAGGCGGCCACCUGGACGGUAACUGACGCUGAGACGCGAAAGCGUGGGGAGCAAACAGG